UGGGGAAUAUUGGACAAUGGGGGCAACCCUGAUCCAGCAAUGCCGCGUGUGUGAAGAAGGUCUUCGGAUUGUAAAGCACUUUCGACGGGGACGAUGAUGACGGUACCCGUAGAAGAAGCCCCGGCUAACUUCGUGCCAGCAGCCGCGGUAAUACGAAGGGGGCUAGCGUUGCUCGGAAUGACUGGGCGUAAAGGGCGUGUAGGCGGUUUACACAGUCAGAUGUGAAAUCCCCGGGCUUAACCUGGGAGCUGCAUUUGAUACGUGUAGACUAGAGUGUGAGAGAGGGUUGUGGAAUUCCCAGUGUAGAGGUGAAAUUCGUAGAUAUUGGGAAGAACACCGGUGGCGAAGGCGGCAACCUGGCUCAUGACUGACGCUGAGGCGCGAAAGCGUGGGGAGCAAACAGGAUUAGAUACCCUGGUAGUCCAC
rnacentral:rRNA from 1 species